UACGUAGGGGGGCAAGCGUUGUCCGGAAUCAUUGGGCGUAAAGCGCGUGUAGGCGGUUCGAUAAGUCUGCUGUGAAAGUCCAGGGCUCAACCCUGGGAUGCCGGUGGAUACUGUCGAGCUAGAGUACGGAAGAGGCGAGUGGAAUUCCCGGUGUAGCGGUGAAAUGCGCAGAUAUCGGGAGGAACACCAAUUGCGAAGGCAGCUCGCUGGGACGUCACUGACGCUAAGACGCGAAAAGCGUGGGGAGCAAACAGG
rnacentral:rRNA from 1 species